rnacentral:rRNA from 1 species
GUGGGGAAUAUUGGGCAAUGGGGGAAACCCUGACCCAGCAACGCCGCGUGAAGGAAGAAGGCUUUCGGGUUGUAAACUUCUUUUAACAGGGAAGAUAAUGACGGUACCUGUUGAAUAAGCCACGGCUAACUACGUGCCAGCAGCCGCGGUAAUACGUAGGUGGCGAGCGUUGUCCGGAUUUACUGGGUGUAAAGGGCGCGUAGGCGGGGAUGCAAGUCAGAUGUGAAAUCCAUGGGCUUAACCCAUGAACUGCAUUUGAAACUGUGUCUCUUGAGUGUCGGAGAGGUAGAUGGAAUUCCUAGUGUAGCGGUGAAAUGCGUAGAUAUUAGGAGGAACACCAGUGGCGAAGGCGAUCUACUGGACGAUAACUGACGCUGAGGCGCGAAAGCGUGGGGAGCAAACAGG